GUGCGGCGAUGAACCUCCGGGAAAGACGCUGGGAGGCCAGGAUGCCCGGCGCAACUGGACGCUCAUCGGGAGUCACGGGGUCGGCCCUCAGGGGAACGGGGACUAUCCGUAUCAACUCGGUGUUUGUUCGUUUUCUUCACCUUGCGCAUCAGCGUUCAACAGCUGCCUGUGCAAAUCGAAAAAAGCGAAACUUUGGAAACUAGGAAGCAUCAGAUGAAUAAUUCUGAAGACUUGAUGUCAACGGGAGUAUCUUGUUUUUAAACUUUUGGUUUUCUGUUCUGGAGACAAACAGUUCAUAUGCACUAAAGAAAAAAGUGUCAUUAUUUCAGAUGCUCAUUGCCAGCAAAGAGAACUGUAUUGCAAGUCAGGCUUCACUCCCAGUAUUUUCUGAAUGUUUCA
rnacentral:lncRNA from 1 species